GUAAGUGGAAGCUUUCUCUUCAUGACUUGGGGCCACAUUUAAUUCCUGUGCUUCCAUGGCAACUGAGGAAUAUUUAGAGGCUCGGUUCAGUGGCACACAUCGGUGGUAGCAAGAGGAAGACAGUGGCUGUCUGACAGUAACAUCUCUGCUCUCAGUUACCUUAGAGAACAAGCUAAUGGAAGAAGAAAGGCCCCAUUUCUGCUACAGAUGCCUUUACAGAGAUUCCUGAUUGUCUGCUCCGAUUCUUUCAUGAUCAGCAGUUCUGUUCCUGAUGUCUGAAGCUGAGUUAUUGCUUUGA